rnacentral:rRNA from 1 species
UUAAAUGGAUAACCGUGGUAAUUUUGAGGCUAAUACAUGAACGUACCCCCUGAUCAACUGGGUAACCGGGAGGUUGGGGACAGUGCGGUCAGUCGCAGAUAUUGCUGGGAAUAGACGCACUUUCAAACCACCAUACCAAACGGUUGGGGUGCUGACCUUCGGGGAGGCGCCCUUUCUGGGUGGGCCUUGCUUUGUGCUUCUGACCUAUCAACUAG